GUAGUCCACGCCGUAAACGAUGGAUACUUGGUGUUGGAGGUAUUGACCCCUUCAGUGCCGGAGCUAACGCGUUAAGUAUCCCGCCUGGGAAGUACGGCCGCAAGGUUAAAACUCAAAGAAAUUGACGGGGGCCCGCACAAGCGGUGGAGCAUGUGGUUCAAUUCGAUGCAACGCGAAAAACCUUACCUGGGCUCGAAAUGCAGUGGAAGUUAGUAGAGAUAUUAACGCCCUUCGGGGCCGCUGCAUAGGUGCUGCAUGGCUGUCGUCAGCUCGUGUCGUGAGAUGUCGGGUUAAGUCCCAUAACGAGCGCAACCCCUAUGUUUAGUUGCCAGCAUUAAGUUGGGCACUCUAGACAGACUGCCGACGUUAAGUCGGA
rnacentral:rRNA from 1 species